rnacentral:rRNA from 1 species
GUGGCCGAUGACUGGGGUGAAGUCGUAACAAGGUAGCCGUAGGGGAACCUGCGGCUGGAUCACCUCCUUA